AUGCCUGCUUGUUUUUUUUUGUUUUUUUUGGGUUUUUUUUGGCCACACCUCGUUAUUUCUGCUAUUAUGAGGCCCUCGCAGCGUUGUUUGUCAUCUUGUCGAGGCCCCUCGGUUUCUAUGGAUACUGCCUCCUCAGUGGCCAGGCUAUCAAUUAAAGACAGCUUCGGCUCCCAACUCUUCCCGAGGACUUCGCCGGGAGCCAGAGAUAAUUUCCCUGAAAAGCCCCGUCCGGCACGGCGUCGCCUCUCCAGCACCGGCCGCUCGGUUGCAGCUCAGCCUGUUCGGGUUUUCGAGGUAGAUGCGUGCUGCCAGCAGUGCUGCAAUAUCCAUCGAGGGCCGCCCAGAGUUUUCUUUGCAGCCAGACGACUACCUUGCACUAGUAUGACGUCUCUGUCAUACUUUUACAUGGGUUGUCCAAGAAGAAAACCCAACAAUUUCCAAUGCAGCAUGAAGCUGCAUCAAGGAGGUAGGAUGUAUUACGUGGAGUUUCUCCAUUAACAUUUAGCAAAGGACAGAUUUAAACAUUUCCGUGCCAUCCAGCCAUUUUACACCUUUUAACAACGUUCCUGGAUUAGCUCUGGCUUUCAUUCGAAAAUGUCUCUGCGAUACCUGGCAUUCACAGAUGCCGGUUUGCAAGAGCGCUGUCACGAUGCCCCUGCCCACACGCAACGCUGCCUGGAACCACAGAGUGAUAAAACCUCUCCUCGCUCUUCCUGGAUGUAAUUAUUUCUAAUAAAAUCUAUUUGUGCCUCA
rnacentral:lncRNA from 1 species